rnacentral:lncRNA from 1 species
GUCACAGCCAUGGAGCUGCUUAAGGCGUCCCCAGGAUCGCAGUGUCCACAGGAAGUGUCACCUGCCGAGUCCUUCUCCCCCACGGGCUAUGCUGAGUGCUGGGUCUCAUCGCCACGCUCGGCCCUGCCUCUCCUGCCUCAGCCUUUCUGGAGGCCAGGAAACUGUGCCUCAUCCCAGCCUCCCUUUCCAGACUUCGACAGCCCCGAGUGUCCUGCAUUUGGCCUUGUCCUCCGUGUCUCCUGUCCGGUGACAUCACGUGCAGCAAUGAACAAGCUCUGGAUCACUGAGCCAGAUGUGGAACUCACCUGCAUCUGCCAGCAUCUGCUCUGACCCCUCCAGGACUUUGGCAGGGUGGUGGAAGAGGACUGGAGGACCACAGGAGGCACAGCAGGUACACGAAGGCCAGGGUCUGGAACCAGGCUAAGAGGUUGACAAUAGCCUGUGACUGGAUGUGUUAGAAGGACUUGGCCCUGAUUUUGAAAAUAUUUUAUAAUAGGAAACAGAAACAUUGGUGUAAUCAAGCACACACGCAAAUAAUGUGAGUUAAGAAUUUUGAGAAUAAAACUCAUUAAGAUAAAUGAUAAUACCAGACAAAAGCUCUGCAACUUUAGAGCAUCUUGUUGGAGUAGGUUGCAUUGUCUCUGUGGUUCUUGGUGAAGUCACCAUGCUUCAGUGAUCUGAGCAAUAGCUGCCCAGCCCAACAUGGUGCAUGGACUUGACUGCACACAGGACAGGAACCAGCAGUGGACAUUUGUCCUGAUAUGGAGAGGAGAGCAGAAGCGCCACCUCACCCUCCAUGGCAGAGCAUCACAGAUUAAAAUGAGAUGCUGCUGUUGUAACCUAGGGACCAGCAGAGCCUGCACAGGUGACAAUAAUGCAGUGCACACAGGAGGCCAACAGGGGGUCUCCCUUGCUGUUGGGUUGGGUGUCUUUGGAGAGCAUUUUGGUGACAUUGAACAAAAUAAAAUUCAUAUUUACUUUU